rnacentral:rRNA from 1 species
UACGAAGGGGGCUAGCGUUGCUCGGAAUGACUGGGCGUAAAGGGCGCGUAGGCGGAUGGUACAGUCAGAUGUGAAAUUCCCGGGCUUAACCUGGGGGCUGCAUUUGAUACGUGCGAUCUGGAGUGAGGAAGAGGGUCGUGGAUUUCCCAGUGUAGAGGUGAAAUUCGUAGAUAUUGGGAAGAACACCGGUGGCGAAGGCGGCGACCUGGUCCUUGACUGACGCUGAGGCGCGAAAGCGUGGGGAGCAAACAGG